rnacentral:tRNA from 10 species
CGCGGAAGGCGCCGCCGCCCAGGGCGCGCAGCGGGUUGUGGCUGAGGUCGAGCGCCGCCAGGCUGGGCAGCCCGUCGAAGGCGCCGUCCUCCACCACCUCGAUGUGGUUGUGCGUGAGGCGCAGCGCGCUCAGGAGCGGCAGGCGCACGCCCGCCGCCUGGUCGCCGUCCCCGUCCCCGCCGGCGAAGGCGGCCGCGCGCAGCACCGUCAGGUUGGCGCCUACGAUGGUGAGGUUGCGCGCGUCGGGCGGCACGUCCCGCGGAGGCUGGCGGAGCUCGGCUCCCGACGCGCAGCGCAGCAGCAGCUUGGGGCCGCCGAAGCAGUAGCACUGGAAGGGGCAGGGUGCCGCGGGCUGGCUCAGCGCCGCCGCCACGAGCAGCAGCCCCUGGAGCCCCGGCUGUCCCGCGCGCGGGGCCAUCGCGGCCGCCCCCGCAUCCAGCGCCCGGGCCGCCGCGCUCACCAAACUGGGAAGCUCUAAACCUGAUUUAAAGAGACAGGCUCCUGAGAAGGGAGGAUUCCUGGCCUUAGCAUGAAUUAUUCAGGCUGGAGAGGCUGACACUUGAUCCGCAGGCCAUUCGGGUAUCAGCAGAGCUGGUUGGAAUAGAGGCUCCCCACCUCCUCCCAAGAAUCAGUCUCUUUCUCCUGAAUUGGGUACGGUUGUUAUGUUGACUCCUUCCCUGAGGUUAUAUUUAACAGAUCGACCAAAGGAUCAAUACCACUUAAGGAGAAGAGGCAGACCCUGCAGUGGCCUGGGUCUUGGGCAAGGACCAACAUUAAGGAACAGAGCUGGUGAUGAUGGGGGUCUCCCAGCUCUCCCCUCCUCCAAGCCCCUCUCUCUUCCCUACCCCCUGUCUUAACUCUCCCAGGUAUGAGAGCUCAGAUGUGUCUCAUGCAAGUCCAUGCAGACUCAUUCAUAUGUGGACAUAGGAUCGUAGGUUUGAGUGCGUCCUGGCAUGUGUCCAUAAAUUCAUAAAGACAUACAUAUUUGAAUAUGCACACUUCUGAGCCCAUGCAGGUUCGUGGAUACAUUCUCAGAGGGCAAGCUUACAGGCCCAUGCUUAAGCCAUGCCAAGCAUAGGGACCCAGCGAUUGGCUAGCACAGUCAGACCCUACUCCUCCUGCCCUGCACCAUGCCCUUGGUCUGUGGAGGUAACAGGCUGGUGAUGUCUUUUCUCACAUGGGCACACGUGCUCAAGUAGAUGCCACUGGGGCUGGGCCCCCAGCUAUAGCCCUCCCCUAAACCCCGGCCCACACAGCAACAUGCCCCAGCUCUGACAUCUCCCCUGGUAGGAGGCACUAGGUCGUUUUCACUUUUCUGUUUCCAGUAUAGAGACUAUCUCAGGAGAGUGUGUGGUGCAAAUGACAGACUGAAUGAACAGAAGUCUCUGUUUCCUUGUCUGCUUCCAGGCCCUGAGGAAUCAGACCACUACCAAGGCUGGAACUCCUUCCCCAGGCCCCGGUGGUGGCUGGCCUCAGAUUGGCUGAUGCCCCCCUCCCCUGCUGCCCCCCAGGAAAGGAGCUGCAGGACCACAGGCAGCCUUGAUUGGGGGGGUGCUCAACACCUCAUUUGGGGAAAUGAGGCCUGGAGAGAAUUUAGAAUCAUCAGGUGCCAGAGAAUAAGGCAAAUGUCGUCUGUUUUGCACAAAUGGGGAAAUAGGCCAGAGGGGCCCCAAGGCCCCUGUCAAGUUUUCAGAGUUUAGCCUAGAAACCUGACCCCAGGGUCCUUGCCCAGGACUCUGUCCAAGAUGGUGGGCUGCAUCUGAGAGGGUCCUGCACCACAAGGAAUGCUUAUCCUGACCCCAAGAAGCUGAGGCUGGGAAUGGAUGCCAUGGUUGAUCUGGUGUGACCUCAGGCCUUUCUCAAUCUUGGGCUGUCACCUUCCUCUUCUAUAAGGUAGAUAGGCUUUAAAUUCCUGUUCUUCCUAUUCCUCUCAGGGCUGUUAUGAUAAAGUGAGUUGAAAGUGCCUCAAAACAAGAAAAAACAUUUCACCUGGGUCUGGGGGCCUAGCACCCGUCCUGCCAGACCCUGGGUAAGGCAUUGCCCCUCUCUGGGACUAAUUAGCUCCCAUGUCAUUUUUCCCUGUUCCAUGUUCUUUCCUUCUCCAACACAGCAGAUUUGUGGUGGAUGUUAAUGAGUCUCUGCUUGUCUCUCUGUAUGGCCUCUACUCAGCCUCCUCUCCUCUCUUCCCACUUUGUAAAGGUGCUUCCCGUCUAAAUUCUCCUGGAACCAAUUUCUCUCUGUCCAAGUUCCCCAAGGAAUCAAGUCUGCGAGCCAUUGGGGCUGAGGGAUCUCUGUUCUUUGGAGGAACAGCGCUCUCCAUCUUAGAUUUGCCAGUGUUCAGUAUGCAUUAAGUGUUCAAUAAAUGUGUGUCCACUUGAGUCUGAGGCUGUGUGUUUAUUCUCUGAUGCAUCUGGUGGAAGUCUCUUUUCUUGGACUGUUUGCCCCAGCUGGGGUGCUCUCCUCUUGAUUCUGUUUCUCCAGUCCAGUCAGCUGUCCCUCAGGACUUGUGAGUUUUGCCCCCUUCAGGGAGCCCUCAUGGCUUCCCUCUCCAUCCUUUGAACUUCACUGAUCAAUUAGAGGGCUAAGACUCCCCUGAUCUUCUUGACUGUCAGCAGCUAGGGCUCAGGUCUGGUCUAAUUUCUUAGGGAUCAGUACAGAGAAGGCACCAGGGAAUAUUUGCUGACUGAAAUAAUGAUUUAAAAAUCUGUGACUCGAGCCUCUCAUCCCUAUGAGGCAAGCUCGGUGAGGACCCCUCAUCUACACUUCAUACCAGGAGAUAGCUGCUCAGAAAUGUUAAGUGCUUUCCCCAAGGUUGCACACCUGACUGGGACCUGAGCCAGAUAGAAGCUCGGGUUUCUUGCCCAUCUCCUUUGCCGCAGCCCCCCCUCAUCCUAGGAUCCCUCUCUCCUGGGAGUGUGGCUGGGUCAGAUCCCAGGGGAGCCUGUGGGCAAAGAGCUCACGCCCUCAGGGUUUCCUUAGGACUCGGAAGAAGCGAGGCACCCCUCGCCACCCAAGCAGAGUGAUCAUCUGCCCUUUGCCCAGAUGAGUACCCCUCAUGUCAGCCACACUGGAUCUUCACGCUUGCUUGAAUUUAUUACUCCACUAGGUCCCAGAGCCCUUCUCUUAGUAUUCCAAGGUGUUGUCUCUACCUGAGCCUCUAGUGCCUUCGCUGGGCCUUUUCUGCUGGCACAGACCCUGCUGUUGAUCAGCUCCACUAAGCCUUGGUAGGGAGCACAGAGUGUGAUGACGUCCCUGAGAUCACCCAGCAGGUAGCCCCUUCUCCAGCUCUGUUUUGUCAUCAGAGGUGUGUCAAUAUUAUUAAAGUCCUUGGACACACCUCAGUUUCCCUGUCUGCAAAAAAGUGUGUGUGGAUGGGAUGGUCCUGGGGGGCCUAGUAGUCUUGUGCCCCUUGGCAUUUUAGGGAUGGGGGUCAGGGAGGGGAAGGUCAUACUGGGAUUUGCCCAAGUUGGUGCCCCCACCUUCUCAAUAUAUGACCUUGAACUUGGUACCACCCCAAUUAAGGCCUUGGUUGCCCGACUAGAAAGUGGUAGGGGUGGCUGGGUGUGGUGCCUCAUGCCUGUAAUCCCAGAACUUUGGGAGGCCGAGGUGGGCAGAUCACAAGGUCAGGAGAUUGAGGCCAUCCUGGCGAACAUGGUGAAACCCCGUCUCUACUAAAAAUACAAAAAAGAAUUAGCCGGGCGUGGUGGUGGGCACCUGUAGUCCCAGCUACUCAGGGGGGCUGAGGAAGAAAGUGGUAGGGGUGGUCUGGGGUCCUUCUGGAGCGGAUGCUGUAGCAUCCUGAGAUCCAGGCUCCCUUUGUCCUCUGUCCCAGCAGCCCUCCUGCUGCCUUCCCAUCCCUCUGUUCCCCCCUCCUCCAAGGCAAAUGGAGGAGCAGCAGGCGGCCUGACGUGAUGAACUCAGCCACGAGGUAGUGGGGGAGGCCCCAGCUUCUCUCCUCUUGCUUGGCUUCCUUGCCAGCAGGGACGGGAGACUUCACUGUGGGCCUUGCCAUUCCCAUUUCUCACUCCCCCUCCCCUCCCCCACUGCUGUGAGACACAGGAAAAUCCAUAGGCCCAAGAUUCAUUUUCUCCGUUGAGUCAGCAGAGGCCAGCGCUGCUUCUGAGGGGCAGGCAACUGGCUUUUAAAUAACUCUCUGAUAUUUAAUACCCUCCUCCUCCGCUCUGUGGCCUGGGCCUCUGGGGAAAGGCUAGAAUAAAUGAGCUGGAUGCGUCCUCCGAAAGUCCUAAAUGUUCUUACCCCCACCUCAGUCUUCCCCCCAACCCCCAACUCUCAGACCAUUGGAAAAGAUGACUCCUUACUACAUCUGUACCUUGCUUUACAGUUUCUAAGUGGUGGCAGGCUGGGUUUGUUGUCCCAGUUUAGAAUGGGAAAUGGACAUUUAGAAAAGGAGAGAGAUCCCACUUGACUUUUGGUCUUUGUCUGCUGUUGGCUGGCUGUGUGGCUGUGGGCAGGUGGGUCCCUGUCCCUCCCUGGGCUUCUGUUUCCUCAUCUGUGCUGCAAGGUGGUUCGGCCAGUGGGUUGUUGUUGGUCCCCCUUGGCUGUGUAAUGUUAUGAUUUGCUGUGCUGGCCUAGGUCUCCUUCCCUAAUGAAGCCUCUGUUUCUCCACUCCUCUUCAAGGAAAGGCUAAAGGGCAGAGCCGACUGAGGCUAAAGGCCAGCUAAGGUCUGACCCCUAGGAUUCCACUCUGUUGAGUCAGGGACAGGAGUGGGUAGGGGAGAGGGGAAAGGGAAAGGAGCAGAGUUGGGUGCCUUCCCUUCCCUUCCCUUGUCUUCCCUUCCCUCCCCUCCACUCCCCUCCCCUUUCAUUAUUUCUUGCUUUUGCCAGUAGAGGUUGGGACAGACCAAGGGCAAUAACCUGUCUUGGUUCUCUUAAAACCCAAGGUCUCUACCACUGUGGAUGCAGUUUAAUGAGGUGGGAGCAAAACCCUCUUCCUCAGCUGUGCCCAGGCCCAGGAUCCUGAUCAUGGAAGUUAGUGGGCCCAGUUCUCCUGGUUUUGCCACUGUUCUGCAUUAUUCAGAAGACAGGGAUUGAUAUCUCUGUUGGCUAUAUGAGAACACUGGGAGGUUAAGAGCUGUGCUUGGGGUCAUCCCAGAUUAAUGAUGGAACAGGGCCUAUAAUCUAGGUUUUCUGAUUCCCAACUCCGUGUUCAUGCCACUUCCCUGAUUCAGGCAGGAAGUUGGGGCCUGAGGGGUGAGCAUGGGAGAGGCAGCUGGUUCUGUAGGGGUGACCUUUGUUUGCCCAACUUCUUUAGCCUCCUCUUGGGUCCUCAUGCUCUUCUUCAAUGUACUGAGCCUUCUGCUUCUAGAAUCACAGAAUCUUGGAAUCAAAACAUUGACUGCUAAGAACCACAGACUCAGAGAGCCAUAGAACUGUGGUCUCUGAAUUAGAACAAAGACUUAUGGUAUUGGUAGUAUGGUGGUGGUGAAUGAGACACUUAGAGCUUGUGGUAGGUUGUUAAUAUUGAUGGUCCCAAAUGAAUUCUGCGUAUCUGAGUCCAUACUUUUAUGUUGUCCCACCCCAUACUGACUUUGGGUUGGCCGUGUGACUUCCUCUGGUUAAUGAGACGUCAGCAAAUGUGAUGCAAGGAGAGUCUUAAAAAGUGCUUGUGCAUUGGGAUUCACCUCUUCUUGCUCCCCUGAAACUGCCAUGUGUAGGAACACAAGCAUGCCUUUUAGAGGAAGAGACCAGAAGUAAACCAUCCCAGCUGGAGAUGAACCAGCUCCCUGAUGGUCUUCCGCCUGCCUCCAGCCACCUGAGUGACCCCAGAUAAGACCAACAGAACUACUCAGCUGACCCGAGCCCAAAUUUCUGACUCACAGAAUUGUGAACAAAUAAAAUGGUGGUUGUUUUAAGUCACUAAGUUUUGGGGUGGUUUGUUACACAGCAGUAGAUAACGGAUGCAGAACCUCAUCAUUGUAGAAUCUUGGUCAUAGAUCCAAUAUGCCCUGACAGUCACAGCAUCGUGGAACCCCAGGACCAGAAACUGGAACCACUGAUGUAGAAUCCAAGAAACAGAAGAGUCCUGAAAACGCCUUAACUCCCACCCAAUGGUACCCUCUCCUUUCACUGUCAGACCAGGUGACCACUCAUCUUUCAACGUUGAGCCCUCUCCCCACCCACAGGUGUCUCUUAUUCUUUAGCGUUG